CCACUGACACAGAACCUCUGGCACAGCACUGCCGACUCCACAUAGAUCGACACCCCUUUCAAUAGCACCAUUCCAACGCGAACACCACCUGUACAGCACGACUGGCACAGCACCACCGGCCACCGACUUAGCACCCGACAGAGUACACCGAACCGAAUGAUACCACACCACUAACACUCACUGGCACGCACCACUGACGCUGCACCGAUUGGCUUCUCUUUCACUUGCACUGCACUGUUUACUGUAUCAAAAGUUAAAAACAAACCAGAUCAGCUGUUUUUUGACAGUAAACAACUGCCCUUGUGUUAGUGCGAUAGAAACCGAUAGAAACGAAUCCUGCUCUCGGGCUUGAUCGAUUUCGAUUGGUUUCGAUCGACUUCGAUUGGCUUCAUUGAACGUCAAUUGGAUUAGUUUCGAUCACAACAUUGGCUGAGUGAACAACAAUUUACCAAUCGAAAUCGAUUGAAACCGAUUUCAAUUGGCUGUUGAACAGAGCUGAUGUGUCAAAUCAGUGUAGAUCUGCUGGCAAGAAAAUGGACAAUACAAUUAAUUCAAUUGCGCUGAUUAGAAUAUAAGCACAAUCGAUUGGAAUUCCUUUCCCGGGAUUGGGGGAGAAAGUUCUCCGUUUGAAGUAUAAAAGGUUAUCGAAGCAGGGAGCAAAAACGAACUGGACCGAAUGAAGAUUGGCCACUAAAUGAGAUCGUCUGUAAGUUACAUGUUAUCGCAAGGACCAGGUGACCCGAUAAUGGCGCAUCCAGACUACGAGCAGCAUCACUAUCAUCACAGAGAACAGACGUACAAGCUAGCCCACGAAACUUGUGUAAAAAUCCCAACACCCUUUUUGAACUAAUUUUUGUUUUUUGGUUGCGAUUACGCCUUUUCGAAAACUGGGCACUUAAAAGAUGAUUUGUAACUCUUGAACGGCGCAAUAGAUGACACUGUUUGCAGUCAAUUUCUAACGUAUUUUUGGUGAUAGCAUUUGAAAUUUUACACACUUUUUUGACGGUUUUUUGUUCGAGCUUGUACGUCUGUUUUCUGUGCUAUCAUCACGGUUGUCUGCUAAUCCUUGUGCGCGGAAUCGGUCCACUGAAGCCGCGAUCUCUGCAGCGUGUUUUCGAACGAAUUCAGUGACUGAACAACGUCAAAAUUCCUGAUUCUUCAGGAAUAACUCGAGAUAUUUGGGUCCGAUAUAUUAGAGACCAUCCAGUGGAAAAUAAUGAUUGGGGUGAUUUCCAGCCGCAUCGGAGACGGCUGGGUUUGAUAUUGUGCGUUUAGAUAAAAAAUUUAUAAACGUCGUUGGUGAAAUGGCAUCAUGGCUGACUUCCGACCAAAACACAUUGAGUCCUUUUAUUUAAGCGUGCGCCAAGAAAUUUUCAAAUCAACGUUGCCACAAAUUCAUUUGAAUCGUUUGUGUAUCUCAUUCUUGCCCGUAAGAGUAUAUUUCACGCGAACACAAACGAUUGCUGGCGAAAACAGCAAAAGCAACAAAAAAACAUUUCCACCCCGGCAGAGGGUGGUCUGCCCCCCAACUUAGGUUAAGGAAAUUUUGUGAGUCUACGGACAUAAAAAUGAACACAAAAAAUGUAUUGUACCUAAUACACACAGAAACAAGAACCAAGAAAUUGUAAACUCUAAGGAGUAUAAAAGAAAAAUUGUAAACUCUCCGGAGUAUAAAACGAAUACCGCUGGUCAAUAUAGUCUCAGUAACUGGACCAUUAAUAGGAGCUUUGCCGAUAAAGCAGUUCCGAGUCGUGCUAAAAAUAGCAUCGGCGACUAGAAAAGAAGAAGAAGAAGAAGCAGAGGGUGGUGGUUUGUACAAAAUAUUUCGAUCCCAACCGAUGUUACUCAAACCGUUUGGGCGCUCAUACAAGCAGUGCCAUACACGAUGCAAAUCGUGUUCACAGCGACAAAAUUUCAUCUAAUUUCAUCGCAUUUGUACCAAUGUUGUGUAGUCUGUGGCCCGCUUAAUGUAUGUAGAGAUACUCUGCUCUGGUGGAUACAAAUUUAUGUGUGGCAACGUUGCAUAUAAUACACUGUUAUUUUUUUAAACACAACUGUCAAAAGUUCGGAAGUAAGUUCGGGAUCGGAAGUCCGGACUUCCGAAGUAAAAUUUAGUGCUGGCGCUAUAAUAGCACUGACAAAAAGUAUCGAUUCGCUUUAAACUUAUCGUUUAAUUGAAAAUAUAAUACACCCUUUUUAAAAGUGA